UUCAGCGGAUUCUAAAGAUGGAUGAAAGUUAACAUCACAGGGGAAAAUUCGGCACUUUUCCACCUGUGUUUGAUUUACCAUCAAAUUUAAAAAUAAGAGCAAAGAGGUUAAAAGUAGAAAACCGAUUUUGGCUAAUAGAAUCCCGAGCGUGGCGACCUCGGCGGUUCUGACGACGUGGAUGACCUUGAUCUGGAUGCUGGGAUAGCUGGAAAGUGGAGCUUGGAGCUUUCAUGAGGAAUUCCUCUGGUUUUUACGUGGAUCUGACCUGCAGUUUGCCUCCUAUUUCCUUCUUUCUGAUGUUCACGAAGCACAAGGUUGAUAAUAGAAAAGAAAUCUGGCCUUGGUUCCAAGCACACGGUAAAGGUUUCUGUUAAAUUAUUCAUGGUAUGAAACUACAACCGUCUGGAACUCACAAAACAACAUCCUGCAUGUAAACUGCAGCGGACACAGAAGAUGAACACAAACAUUUGUUUUUGGAUUUCCUUAAACAAAGCAGUUUUCCUCGUCUGUCCUGGAAGACGAGGACGCCAUGAGCUGUGGAAUGAAAUCAGCCAGGAAGCCUCCAGGCUGUUAUCAGUCCUGCAGCCGUCGGUGAUGGAUCAGGGCUCUUAGCUGAAGUGAUUGACACUUGUGUGAUGGCAGCAUUACUGCAGAAAAAAGUACAAAGAGGUCAGAGAAUCACAUGCUCCCUUCAAGACUUUCAAGGUAAAGCCCAUGCAUUUUUCAACAAAGCAGCCCAAAACUAGAUGAGACAUUCCAAAGCUGGAGAAGUGAGGAGAAGCUGCCUGCAGCUCUGACCUGUACGGGUUCGGUCGGAAACCAGAAACAGGAAAACACCUCCUGAAGAAAAUGAAACAUUUACUGUUUGUAAUAAGCAUGUGUGUCUCUCACUGGUUUGGCAUUCAUUGUUGCGAUAAAUAUUUGAUUAAAAAAAAAACAGAUACGUCUUUUUUCUUCUCACAUUUGGUCAGAUGGACUGAGUUUUUUGUUUUGUUUUCUGCAGAUAAUCUUGGAAGUGGCAGCCAUGACAGACGUGAGUCCAGUUCUCCAGGACCUUCAGAACCUCCUGGGUCCUCUCUGGACCAGGUUUUGCUGAAGCAAUCCUUCUGCAAUGUUUACUUUCCAAUGUGUAUAAAGAAACAAAAGCAGUGGACGUGUUUGCAGCUUCUGAGACCUUUGGCUUGUUUUUCUGUUCUGCUUCAGCAGGAAACCACAGCUUCACCUGUGACUCCAGCGCUGACCUGCAGUCAGGACGGGCAGCUGGAAAAAACUAUCCUCAACACAAUUACCUGUCAAUGUCUGUGCACUGAUCUGCAGGGGGAUGCAUAUUAGUAUAAACAUUUCUGACAUUUUCUUCAGCAACAUUUUUAUUUACCGAUCAGAAGCAGGAAGAGGUGAGGCAACCUUGUGUUGGCCCCAGAGGGCUCAAACCCUCACAACAUGGUUUGCUCCUUGGGACAUACCAUUUCCACAAUGGGUCGCCAGUAUAAUAUCUUCACAAAGCUGACAGAAAAACUGCAUAGAAAAGAGGAAGUACCACGCCGUGCCUCCAGGGGGCGCUGGUGAGCGGAGCGGUGCCGGCUGCUGCCAGAUUUUACACAGAAAAAGUCGGCGCCAAGUAGUUAAAUUUAAAUUAGCCUCUGUUUAACCCGAAAACAGUAAAAAAAAUGAAAAACUUUUCCUUUGUAAAUCAUCUCUGUGAAACAGAAAAACUCAAAGAUGAAGGUAGGACCCAAAAAAAUCCACAAUUUGUUAAAAAAAUAGUUAAAUUAAAAUAGAAUAACUGAUUUAAAGUGUCACUUUUCACCCGAUGUUAAUUAUUGUAUGUUAUAAUUUUGUUGUUAUCUUCCUCUAAACAAUUUGAAUCUCCACAUUUUAAAGUUUUCAUCAAGAAUGGAAGGAAAGGUGUAGCAGAGAUGAAGAUGCUGAGGUUCUCUUUGGGUCCAGGACGGAUCCGGAAUGAAUCCAUCAGAGGAUCUGGAGAUCCACACAGGGAAGCAGGUGGAGAUGUGUGGACACGCUGACAGGAGGAACAGUGAUGAUGUUGAGACCAGCGGCUCUGAAGCCGGAUCACCGAGGGACUCGUCCAGAGAGGCUGCGGCGUGGCGGCGUGGAGAGGGAUGGGCGCGCCUGUGUGGACAUGAAGAUGCAGGUCAGCGUGUGGCUUCCUGGUCAGGAGCAGGUGUCACGAAGCCGUGUUUAAUAGGAUCUGCCCCAAGCCUCUUAGACGUGUUCCUCGACUCCAGAGCGCUGUCCCACUUUCAGGGAGGUGUUAUUCCUCGUAUCUGCAGCUCCUCUGCUUUGUUGCUAUGUAGAAAAGGAGCUGAGAGACGAUGAAGUGUCACGCGUGCAGCCGUGAACUUUUCCCGUGGCGCUGCAGUUUUAUGAGGCUUUUUGCUUUGCAUUUAGGAAAAUAUGAGUGUCAGAAAGAGGUCAGGCUGAGUAGAAGAUUAACCAUUGAGACACUUAGCAGGAAGGAUUACUUCUUAACUUUUUAAAGACGUUUAAUUAAAGGUGUAGAAAGUAUGCGGAUAAACCCUCAUGCGUUCUCACUGACCUACUUUUUUUGUGUCUGCCACCCGACUAAUAAUAAAAAUGAAGCGCCGGGUAAACAACAACAAAGCGCGGCAUGCUGGGAGCAGACACGGCGUGCAGGUGAGUCCGGCUCAGACGUGCCGGCUCACUGAACUGUGUGUGGUCAGCUGCUCGUCACAAAGCCUCUUCACAGCUCGUCUUUAUUUAGUGCCUCACCUUUCUGGCUCUGGGUCAGCUCUUGCUUGCAGAAGAGCUUAUUUCUGCCACGGCUUCCCCUCUCCAGGAAAAAAGGCCACUUAGUGCCUUAAUGUGCCAUUACUGCCGUCCACAAAGGAGGAUUUAAAAUACACUUUGUAAUCUAUCCUGGGGGGGGGGGGCACGAGUGUUUAAAAAUCCAACAGAUGAGUUUAAAAAGCAGCAGAUGAGGAGGUGGAAUACCUGCAGUCUGGGUUUCCUCAGACUCGCCAUGUAACCUGAUAUUUGCACAAUUCAGAUGUAGCACUCAGUGAAGAGGCGCCUGACCCCCCCACAUUAACCCCCGCUCUCCCGCCACUUCUGCCAGCAGAGACAGAGAUAUUUUCAGGCCAAACACAAUUAAAGCAGUGGGCUGAUGUGAGGGAGGUGCUGUAUCCUGACGUGUUGUGCCGCUUCCUGCCUCGUCUCUCAUAAUGCCGCUCAUUUGUCACCCCCCCGGCUCCCCUACCCCUCCGCCUCCCGCCUACAUGCUUGGAUGCCGCUGCUGUGCAGCAGAGAUCACGCUCUCGGGAGUGGCAGCCCGCACUCGAUGGCGAAAAGGUGAUGCUGCUUGAAGCUCCUGAGCGGCAGACCCAGUUUCCAUUAUUCAAUAAGCAGGUUGCCUGCUCCUGGUUCUGACAGCACGGUGGUGUGGGUCUGAUUAUGCGGGGUGGGUGUGAGCCCCGGGCCAUCAGGAGAGAUAAACCCAGCGUAGCAGCGAUCAAUAACUACCAGAAGGGCAGAUAAUGAUUUAUUAAGCAGGCUAUGGCUCCGAGCUGUGCAUAACUAUUCCUCUUGUUAUCCAGAAAUCAAAAACCAUCUGGGAGCUUUGCUGAAUAUGAACCGUCUCUGUUGCAGCUCACAUCUGCAUAACCUGAAGAACUCUUCCUGUGAAACCUUUGACCUUUGUGUCAGAAUGACCUCCAUCGCGGCGUCAAGAGCAUCCGGCACACUUGUCCGUGUUCGGGAAGUUCUGCACAAACUGUUACAACAGCUGCUCGUUGGGGGGGGGGGGGGGCGCUGUAGCCGAAAACCAAUCAAAGGUCCAUUCCUGCGUCUACCUGAUGACUGGCUUCACCUCCUCACUCCCACCCUAAUGGAAGAAGGACUUAGAGCAGCUUUGUGAAUCUUCUGCUUGUUUUUCUUCUUCCAUCCUGGAGAGCGUGCUCCUUACAUCACUUCCUGUCUUUACCAAACACGCCACUGCUUCCCAACUGCUUACAAACCCAGUGGCCAAGUGGAAGAGUGUCCAGCCUGAGCUGGAAGGUACAAAUCCACGGUCAUGUCAAAGACUAAAAAUGGGAUGCCUCCUUGCUCGACACUCAGCAGCCCAAACGGUUCUGCAGCGUGACUGUCUGCUGCUCACUGCUCCCCCAGGGAGGACAAACGCCACUCACCCUGGUGUGUGGCAGCCAUCGGCUGUAUCUGAGAACUGGACUGAGUGGCCCCUCCCCCUGGAACGCUAGGGGGAGGGGCAUGGUUCUGAUACCUCUUUUUUAACAAAUUUUUGAUAACCCUGUUUCUUUUCAGGAUAUUUUUUCUGUAAUUCAAGUUAUCAAAGUUAUAA